rnacentral:tRNA from 1 species
GCGCCCGUAGCUCAAUGGAUAGAGCCGCGCUCUUCUAAGGCGUUGAUGUUGGUUCGAUUCCAGCCGGGCGCACCA